rnacentral:rRNA from 1 species
GACGAACGCUGGCGGCGUGCUUAACACAUGCAAGUCGAACGGAAAGGCCCUGCUUUUGUGGGGUGCUCGAGUGGCGAACGGGUGAGUAACACGUGAGUAACCUGCCCUUGACUUUGGGAUAACUUCAGGAAACUGGGGCUAAUACCGGAUAGGAGCUCCUGCUGCAUGGUGGGGGUUGGAAAGUUUCGGCGGUUGGGGAUGGACUCGCGGCUUAUCAGCUUGUUGGUGGGGUAGUGGCUUACCAAGGCUUUGACGGGUAGCCGGCCUGAGAGGGUGACCGGCCAAAUUGGGACUGAGAUACGGCCCAGACUCCUACGGGAGGCAGCAGUGGGGAAUAUUGCACAAUGGGCGGAAGCCUGAUGCAGCAACGCCGCGUGCGGGAUGACGGCCUUCGGGUUGUAAACCGUUUUCGCCUGUGACGAAGCGUGAGUGACGGUAAUGGGUAAAGAAGCACCGGCUAACUACGUG